AUUGAACGCUGGCGGCAGGCUUAACACAUGCAAGUCGAGCGGAGAUGAGGUGCUUGCACCUUAUCUUAGCGGCGGACGGGUGAGUAAUGCUUAGGAAUCUGCCUAUUAGUGGGGGACAACAUUCCGAAAGGAAUGCUAAUACCGCAUACGGCCUACGGGAGAAAGCAGGGGAUCUUCGGCCCUUGCGCUAAUAGAUCAGCCUUAGUCGGAUUAGCUAGUUGGGGGGGGAAGGGCCUACCAAGGCGACGAUCUGUAGCGGGUCUGAGAGGAUGAUCCGACACACUGGGACUGAGACACGGCCCAGACUCCUACGGGAGGCAGCAGUGGGGAAUAUUGGACAAUGGGGGGAACCCUGAUCCAGCCAUGCCGCGUGUGUGAAGAAGGCCUUAUGGUUGUAAAGCACUUUAAGCGAGGAGGAGGCUACUGAGACUAAUACUCUUGGAUAGUGGACGUUACUCGCAGAAUAAGCACCGGCUAACUCUGUGCCAGCCGCCGCAGUAAAAC
rnacentral:rRNA from 1 species